AUGCAGACAGUGAAGUGGACUAGGUCUUUUCCUCACAGAAAUAUGCAAUGGCUGCAGCAGCACCCUUCUUGGGAGAGGGAAGCCUGUUGCUUGUGUUGUCAUAAGGCACCUGUGAGACAGUU
rnacentral:snoRNA from 1 species